rnacentral:rRNA from 1 species
AUUGAACGCUGGCGGCAGGCCUAACACAUGCAAGUCGAGCGGAGCGGCGGACGGGUGGGUAAUGCAUAGGAAUCUGCCUGGUAGAGGGGGAUAACGUCCGGAAGCGGGCGCUAAUCCCGCAUACUAUCAGAUGAGCCUAGGUGGGAUUAGCUAGUUGGUGGGGUAAAGGCCUACCAAGGCGACGAUCCAUAGCUGGUCUGAGAGGCGGAUCAGCCACACUGGAACUGAGACACGGUCCAGACUCCUACGGGAGGCAGCAGUGGGGAAUAUUGGACAAUGGGCGAAAGCCUGAUCCAGCCAUGCCGCGUGUGUGAAGAAGGUCUUCGGAUUGUAAAGCACUGUAAGUUGGGAGGCGUUACCAACAGAAUAAGCACCGGCUAACUUCGUGCCAGCAGCCGCGGUAAUAC